CGGGUGAGUAACACGUGGGCAACCUGCCCUUGAGUCCGGGAUACCCUCUCGAAAGGGAGGCUAAUACCAGAUACGUUCCUCGGAUCGCGAGAUCUGGGGAGGAAAGGUGGCGAAAGCUACCGCUCUUGGAGGGGCUCGCGGCCUAUCAGCUAGUUGGUGAGGUAACGGCUCACCAAGGCUAUGACGGGUAGCUGGUCUGAGAGGACGACCAGCCACACGGGAACUGAGACACGGUCCCGACUCCUACGGGAGGCAGCAGUGGGGAAUUUUCCGCAAUGGGCGAAAGCCUGACGGAGUGACGCCGCGUGGGGGACGAAGGCCUUCGGGUCGUAAACCCCUGUCAGAGGGAAAGAAGGGUCGCCGACCUAACACGUCGGUGAUCUGACGGUACCUUCAGAGGAAGCCCCGGCCAACUCUGUGCCAGCAGCCGCGGUAAGACAGAGGGGGCAAGCGUUGCUCGGAAUCACUGGGCGUAAAGGGCGCGUAGGCGGGAUGGCAAGUCGGUCGUGAAAUCCUUCGGCCCAACCGAAGAACGUCGGCCGAUACUGCCGUUCUUGAGGGAUGCAGAGGAGACUGGAAUUCCCGGUGUAGCGGUGAAAUGUGUAGAGAUCGGGAGGAAC
rnacentral:rRNA from 1 species